GACGAACGCUGGCGGCGCGCCUAACACAUGCAAGUCGAGCGAUGAAAUUUUAACCGAUCUCUUCGGAGAGAAGAUAAAAUGGAUUAGCGGCGGACGGGUGAGUAACACGUGAGAAACCUGCCUUUCACAAGGGUAUAGCCUCGUGAAACCGGGAUUAAUACCCUAUGACACAUUUCCUUCGCAUGGAAGAAAUGUUAAAACUCCGGUGGUGAAAGAUGGUCUCGCGCCUGAUUAGCUAGUUGGUGGGGUAACGGCCCACCAAGGCCAUGAUCAGUAACCGGCCUGAGAGGGUGAACGGUCACAUUGGAACUGAGACACGGUCCAAACUCCUACGGGAGGCAGCAGUGGGGAAUAUUGCACAAUGGAGGAAACUCUGAUGCAGCGACGCCGCGUGAGCGAUGAAGGCUUUCGAGUCGUAAAGCUCUGUCCUAUGGGAAGAUAAUGACGGUACCAGAGGAGGAAGCCCCGGCUAACUACGUG
rnacentral:rRNA from 1 species